rnacentral:rRNA from 1 species
UGGGGGAUAUUGCACAAUGGGCGAAAGCCUGAUGCAGCGACGCCGCGUGGGGGAUGAAGGCCUUCGGGUUGUAAACUUCUUUUGCUCUGAACAAGGCAUGCUAAUGGGUGUGUUGAGUGUAGGGGUUGAUUAGCGCCGGCUAACUACGUGCCAGCAGCCGCGGUAAUACGUAGGUCGCGAGCGUUGUCCGGAAUUAUUGGGCGUAAAGGGCUUGUAGGUGGCUGGUUGCGUCUGUCGUGAAAGCUCAUGGCUUAACUGUGGGUUUGCGGUGGGUACGGGCUGGCUUGAGUGCAGUAGGGGAGGCUGGAAUUCCUGGUGUAGCGGUGGAAUGCGCAGAUAUCAGGAGGAAUACCGGUGGCGAAGGCGGGUCUCUGGGCUGUUACUGACACUGAGGAGCGAAAGCAUGGGGAGCGAACAGG